rnacentral:lncRNA from 1 species
UGUGACAGCGCCACCAUGAUCAUGAGUCUCAAGGCCACUAUUCAGUCCUCUUGGCCUGUUUUAGAAGCAGCACGGGCUCGAAUGGUCUGAUUGACCAGUUAAAUCUUUGCAGAGUGCUUUCUUUGUUUGGACAACUCCAUCUACCUUCUCUGCAGAGUCAAAGAGUAAUAACAUUGAUUGUAGGGAAGGAGACAAAGUGGAGAAUCUGAAGAGUUGGUAAACGUACUUGCAUAACCUGUUCAUAGAUGAGACGAAGCUCAAGACCAAUAAAGAAUCCACCAUCCGCUGUGUUUUGUGCUUCCAGAUGUGGUUUAACCGCAACUCUAAAUCUCCCAAACCCGGAGCUGUCGUUGAAGAACAAAGCGGUGAGGGCCGUUUGAUUUCGCGGUUAUCUCUGCCACUGACGCUUGCGAUUAUAUAUAGGGUAUCAAGCCGGGGGAAUCGAGUAAGUUUCAUCCGUUGGGUUGAUGUAGUUAAGGUUGAUGCUUUAUGACUGAAUGUGGUGGGAGAGAGACCUUAAAGUGGUGAAUCUAUGCAACUUGGUUUGGGGUUAGGGGUGAAAGAUUAAUUGGGCUGAGGCUGCCGUGAGAUGGGCUUCGAGUAAGUUAAUUGAAGUUGUUGCUCUUGAUUCAGAUGUUCCUUGGUAGUUACGUGGGUUGGUGUUUGAACAAGAAAAGUAACAUAUGCCACACACAACAAAACUGUCUAUGUGAUGUGUAUAUAAGGCAUAAGUGUAUGUAUAUUACAGGAAUAAAGUGGAAACUCAGUGAUAUGUUUUUUUUUUCCAAAUAGAUUAGGGGUCUGGAUGUACAUUUUUGUGUUAUCAACUUUUAUGUACAUAUACUAAUGGCAUUUUCAUAUAUUCUUAUUAGUUAUCAACUUAUCAUAUGUCAAAUAAAUUAAAUUUAGUUGCUCAAACAAAAAAAAUUAUGGCAUACGAGUCUAAAGCCAAAUUAGGGUUCUUCCUAGAAUUUUGUUAAUUUCACGAUAGAGUAAAUUGUAUUUUUUUUAACACAUAGAGUAAAUUGUAUAUCAACUAUAAAUACAUAGAGAGAUUGUACCUUUAUUUUGUAUAUGUAAUCUACAAUUAUUAUUUCUUUUAUUUUUUAAGAAAAUGCUGAAAAAUUAGAUUUUGGAUUUUCUAAUUCUAAAACAUCUGAAUAAUAUUUGUGAGAGAAACAAUUAUUAUAAAUGUUCUUUUGGUUUAAUUCUAUAAAAUAAAAUAAAAAAAUGAAUUUUGUGUGUAACUUAAAUGACAAAACCAAAAUGCACUUUCCAAAAUUAAACAUCCUUUUCUUUUGUCUUUUCACAUGUAAACAUCCUUACCAAAUACUUUGGUUUGGUGAGCUUCUUUUUCCGUUGAAAAAAAAGCUUCUUUUUCCAACAUAAAAAUAUUUACAUUUACUUAUAUUCUUACUAUUAUCAUUUUACAUUGAGUUUUAAUCCAGAUUAAUAUUUUAGCUAUAGCUAGAUUGUAAGAUUUUUUUUUUGCUUAUAACUAAACAAAUAAUAUAGUAAUAAUAAUUUCUGGAAAAAUAUAGUAAUAAUAAUAUUUUCAUAGAGUUUUCAGUGUAUUUAUAACAUUCAAAAAUUUUAGAAGUUUUUUAUUUAAAGAAAUGAGUAUUUAAAUAAGCUUUACUUAGUACAGUUGUAAAAAUAGAUUAUAAUCAUAAGAAAAUAUAUUAUAAAAUAUUAAAUAGCAUAUAAAUAAAAAUAUAAAUAUGAUAUAAAUAAUACAUAUAACAAAGACAUAUGUGAUGUGGAGAUUACAAAUAUAUUUUCCUAAUAACCUAAAUAUGUAAGAAAAGAUAUUUUUGAUAAUGGCUAAGGUUUAACAAAUUCUUUAUUUAUUUCGCAUUUGUUCACCAUUCCAUACAUAGUUUAGAUUAAAAAAAUAAAUUGUAAGUUUUACUCAUUUCUAAUUCAAUUUCUAAUUAUAUUUUUAUAACAUAAAAAUAAUAUAUUGUAAUAUAUUUAUUAAAUACAACAUUAUUUGUAAUAUAGUGUAUGAAGUUUAACAAAAAAUAUUAAAGACACGAAGUAAGAAAAAAACUAAAUCACUAUUUUUUCAAUGUAAAUUAAAAUAAUGGGUGUGAUUGGUAACCAUAGUAUGAACAUUAAGAAUAAAUAAGAAAAUAAUAAAUAUGAAUAAAAUUUUGGGAAUGAUGAGGAUUGAUGGUUUCUUAUCAAAAUUAACAAAGAACAAUUUUGUAUUAUAAUUCUCUACAAAAAAAAAGAAUAAAAAAAACGAAGAGGAACAACUAUUCCUUAUAAAUGGUAAUUUUUAUAAUGAACGUUAAGGAAUGUUGUGUUCUUCUUCUCAUUCCAUUGGUCACCAGUCACCUCCACUAAGGCUAUAUCAAUCAAGCCGGGGGAAUCGAGUAAGUUUCAUCCGUUGGGUUGAUGUAGUUAAGGUUGAUGCUUUAUGACUGAAUGUGGUGGGAGAGAGACCUUAAAGUGGUGAAUCUAUGCAACUUGGUUUGGGGUUAGGGGUGAAAGAUUAAUUGGGCUGAGGCUGCCGUGAGAUGGGCUUCGAGUAAGUUAAUUGAAGUUGUUGCUCUUGAUUCAGAUGUUCCUUGGUAGUUACGUGGGUUGGUGUUUGAACAAGAAAAGUAACAUAUGCCACACACAACAAAACUGUCUAUGUGAUGUGUAUAUAAGGCAUAAGUGUAUGUAUAUUACAGGAAUAAAGUGGAAACUCAGUGAUAUGUUUUUUUUUUCCAAAUAGAUUAGGGGUCUGGAUGUACAUUUUUGUGUUAUCAACUUUUAUGUACAUAUACUAAUGGCAUUUUCAUAUAUUCUUAUUAGUUAUCAACUUAUCAUAUGUCAAAUAAAUUAAAUUUAGUUGCUCAAACAAAAAAAAUUAUGGCAUACGAGUCUAAAGCCAAAUUAGGGUUCUUCCUAGAAUUUUGUUAAUUUCACGAUAGAGUAAAUUGUAUUUUUUUUAACACAUAGAGUAAAUUGUAUAUCAACUA